ACAUCACCUGGCUGCAGGGCUGCUGGUAUCAUCUGGAGACACUUUCUCUUGAAGCCCCUUUACACUGAGUGCAACUCCUGGGGAAAGCAUCACCCCUCACAGGAGCUGUGCCUCCUCUCCAACCAGAAAAUGGGGCUGGAGAGGAUGGAGGUCACAACUGCUGCAUCCACACAGCACCCACUGCCUGAGAGAGAACACGAAUGGGGAAGAGACUGGAGUCCCAGCUGAAUGGCCUUGGAUUCAGCCCCAUGUAUGCUGCUGUUGGUUGGAAGAGGGAUCACAAAGCCACAGAUCUACUGAUGCUGCCUUCUUGUUGCUCUGGGAAGAAGAUGGGCUUGUCCCCAGACCUGGGUACAACUCUCCUCACAAAGAUUGCUUCAGGCCUAUCCCCACUCUAGUGCAUGAGGCUGUUUGAAGUCCCUCCACAUGUAUUUGUCUGAUAUACACCCCAGCUCCUGCGAGCAUAGAAGCCCUGCACCUCCCCACUGCUGAGAGCAUAAGCCGCACAACCUCCUGCCCUGCUCUGCCCUGCCCUGCC